UCCUCCAGACGGGUCAUGAAACUACUUCUUUCACUUCUUCUAUGCCUUUGUUUACUUUCAAAAGUGGUUCCGCUAUUGUUGGAACCUGUGAUCUACAUUUCAGUGGUGCGUUUUCAAGCUGAUUGAGCGAUAUGGUGCUCUGCUGUCUCUGAGGCUGGCGUGCAUCUUCAAGGUUUCUUGCUGUCAAGUGAGUAACCGGUAGAGCUGUCUCCUUCCCCACUCCCCACCCUCCCCGUAUCAUUAUCAUUGUCCUCUAUUCAUUGCAUCCAACCACACCUCCCCCCCCCACCCCCACAAGCCCCAGCCCCGGUAAUAAACCAAUGGAAGGAAAGAGAAGAAAUGAAGUGCCUGUGAGUCAUUCACCCAAGUAUCCUGUUCUCAGUGCAAUCGCUCAGACCCCAUUCCGAAAGAGGGCUUGCUUUGUAUGCAGAUCCCAGAAGGAGGUCCAAAAGCUUUUUGGGACCAAGAUGCUGCCUGGCCUGCUGCGUAUAUCCAACAUUUUCUGUUUGUGUUUCAGAUUUCCAGCAACUAGAGUGUUUCUUACCUCAAUAACUGCUAAAAAAAAAUCAGUGACAUUUUGAAGAAGAAGCUGUUCUUUUGAAUUUAACCAGAAACCAGAAUCCUCUUCUGCUUGAGAAAAGCUUCCAAUAGCAAGUGGCAUGGUAGUGUAAUGGUUGGUGCAAUAACUUUACAGCACCAGCGAUCAGUAAUCAUGUUUGCCUGAAAAGAGUUUGUACGUCCUGCCCAUGACCACAUGGGCUUCCUUUGGGUCCUCCGGUUUCCUCACACAUACCAAAGGUGAACAGUUAGGGUUAGUUAGUUGUGGAUAUACUAUAUUGACACCGAUGAUAUGGCAGCACUUGCAAACUGUCCCUGAUACACCCUUACUGAUUUGAUCUGAUGAAAGCUGCU